rnacentral:rRNA from 1 species
CCUACGGGAGGCAGCAGUGAGGAAUAUUGGUCAAUGGGCGUAAGCCUGAACCAGCCAAGUCGCGUGAGGGAUGAAGGUUCUAUGCAUCGUAAACCUCUUUUGUCAGGGAAUAAAGUCAGGGACGUGUCCUGUUUUGUAUGUACCUUAUGAAUAAGCAUCGGCUAACUCCGUGCCAGCAGCCGCGGUAAUACGGAGGAUCCGAGCGUUAUCCGGAUUUAUUGGGUUUAAAGGGUGCGUAGGCGGCCUUUUAAGUCAGCGGUAAAAGGCUGGGGCUCAACCAUGGAAGUGCCGUUGAACCUGGGAGUCUUGAGUAGGUGUGAGGCAGGCGGAAUGCGCGGUGUAGCGGUGAAAUGCUUAGAUAUCACGCAGAACCCCGAUUGCGAAGGCAGCCUGCCAAGCCAUGACUGACGCUGAUGCACGAAAGCGUGGGGAUCAAACAGGAUUAGAUACCCCAGUAGUC